CUACGGGACGCUCCAGUAAGGAAUAUUGCGCAAUGGAGGCAACUCUGACGCAGCCAUGCCGCGUGCAGGAAGAAGGCCUUAUGGGUCGUAGACUGCUUUUAUUUAGGAAUAAACCCCCGAACGUGUUCGGGGCUGAAGGUACUAAACGAAUAAGCACCGGCUAACUCCGUGCCAGCAGCCGCGGUAAUACGGAGGGUGCAAGCGUUAUCCGGAUUUAUUGGGUUUAAAGGGUGCGCAGGCGGGCUAUUAAGUCAGUGGUGAAAUCCCGGGGCUCAACUCCGGAACUGCCAUUGAUACUGAUAGUCUUGAGUUUGGUUGAAGUGGGCGGAAUGUAGCAUGUAGCGGUGAAAUGCAUAGAUAUGCUACAGAACACCAAUCGCGAAGGCAGCUCACUAAGCCAAAACUGACGCUCAUGCACGAAAGCGUGGGGAUCAAACAGGAUUAGAUACCCUGGUAGUC
rnacentral:rRNA from 1 species